GCCAAAGCAGCUAAAUAUUCCCAACAUUUCGGUGGGGCAGCUGGAACUGGUGUUGGAGGACUGUACCCUGGAGCUGGAGAAUUGGAAUCUCAGAGCGAUUUCUUGGAGUCUGAAGUUGAGCAAGGACCGUCAAUACCUUCGCUGCUAACAUCUAUACCUGACACGACAGUCCCCAAGACAUUACAGUAAUCAGAGGGGGAUCACAUCACAUUCCACAAAGGACCAGACCAGCUGGAAGAAGAGCUUGAGUUAAGAAGAGAAGAAAUGAACAAAGAAAUUAUGAUGAGAAGAGAGGAGCUGGAUUUUGAGGCACAACUCAGACGGGAAGAGAUGUCUCAGAGAAAGAAGGAAGCUGAGGCUUUUGCUUCGGUCUUCACAAAUUUGGCAACAGCUCUUCUCCAGAGAAAGUAGAUGGACACUACAGCUUUUCUGUUUGCUUUAAAGCACACUGUCUUAGUUUCUUAUUUUUAAAUAAUUUUAGUUUAUUAUUAUCUGUUUAUAAAUAGUAUGUUUCACAAA